GAUGAACGCUGGCGGCGUGCCUAAUACAUGCAAGUCGAGCGAACAGAUAAGGAGCUUGCUCCUUUGACGUUAGCGGCGGACGGGUGAGUAACACGUGGGUAACCUACCUAUAAGACUGGGAUAACUUCGGGAAACCGGAGCUAAUACCGGAUAACAUUUGGAACCGCAUGGUUCUAAAGUGAAAGAUGGUUUUGCUAUCACUUAUAGAUGGACCCGCGCCGUAUUAGCUAGUUGGUAAGGUAACGGCUUACCAAGGCGACGAUACGUAGCCGACCUGAGAGGGUGAUAGGCCACACUGGAACUGGGACACGGUCCAGACGCCUGCGGGAGGCCGCAGUAGGGAAUCUUCCGCAGUGGGCGAAAGCCUGACGGAGCAGCGCCGCGUGAGUGAUGGAGGGUUUCGGCUCGUAAAACUCUGUUAUUAGGGAAGAACAAAUGUGUAAGUAACUGUGCACGUCUUGACGGUACCUAAUCAGAAAGCCACGGCUAACUACGUG
rnacentral:rRNA from 1 species